AUGAACACUGCUCACUGUAGCCUCGACCUCCCCAGGGUCAGGUGAUCCUCCCACCUCAGCCUCCUCCUAAGUAGCUACAGGCUUGCACCACCAUACCCAGCUAAUUUUUGUAUUUUUUGUACAGAUGGAGUUUUGCCAUGUUUCCUAGGCUGGUCUUGAACUCCUGAGCUCAAGCUAUCUGCUUGCCUCAGCCUCCCAAAGUGCCGGAAUUACAGGCAUGAGCCACCACGCCUGACAACUGGGGCUUCCUGAAAAAAAUAAACAAUAAUAACAAACUUUGGUGUUGCCUAGAGCCUUGGCUAGAAGAAUUUCUGACGUUGAAUCUGAUCACUGGCCACCGCUUUGGCUUCCUGAGCAGUAUUCUGCAUGUACAUGUCAGCUGAGACAUCCUCUUCCAACCACCCUAAUCAGAUUGGCUUGUUCCAACCAAAGGCCCUCGUGGAUUUUAACUUUUUAUAGCUUCAUUAGUUACUGUUGGUGUUCUGAAGAGGAGCAGAUUCUGCAAAAUCCAAAGCUUUUCUUCAUCAUAUGGAAUUUAAGGAAAAGAAAAACAAAGGAUCACCUUGGAAUCAUGGAAUAUAAAUUAGAGAAGAACAGGAGAGCUUGACCAAUAUGGAAGAAAUGGCAGCAAAACAGGCAGGAAAUUACACAAUUCUGAAGAAAAGCAGUAUGAGCAGAAUUGAAAUAAAAGACAGAGUCUCCCUCUGUCACCCAGCAGGCUGGACUGCAGUGGCA
rnacentral:lncRNA from 10 species